GAUGAACGCUGGCGGCGUGCCUAAUACAUGCAAGUCGAGCGAACAGAUAAGGAGCUUGCUCCUUUGAAGUUAGCGGCGGACGGGUGAGUAACACGUGGGUAACCUACCUAUAAGACUGGGAUAACUUCGGGAAACCGGAGCUAAUACCGGAUAACAUUUAGAACCGCAUGGUUCUAAAGUGAAAGAUGGUUUUGCUAUCACUUAUAGAUGGACCCGCGCCGUAUCAGCUAGUUGGUAAGGUAACGGCUUACCAAGGCGACGAUACGUAGCCGACCUGAGAGGGUGAUCGGCCACACUGGAACUGAGACACGGUCCAGACUCCUACGGGAGGCAGCAGUAGGGAAUCUUCCGCAAUGGGCGAAAGCCUGACGGAGCAACGCCGCGUGAGUGAUGAAGGGGUUCGGCUCGUAAAACUCUGUUAUUAGGGAAGAACAAAUGUGUAAGUAACUGUGCACAUCUUGACGGUACCUAAUCAGAAAGCCACGGCUAACUACGUG
rnacentral:rRNA from 1 species